CUGGAGGAGGCAGCUCCCUGGUGACCUGGCAGCUGCAGGAACUGCACAGCAGAGGCAUCAGCACAAGAAGCAGCCACCAGAAAGAAAAGACCCUGAGUCAGCAGCCUUGGAUGUUUUAGGGAGGACUGCUCUUCCCAUUGGAUUCACUGCAGUGGGGAAAGAAGAGCCCAUGGGAAUGAAGAGUGAAGCCCACAGCCUGGGAGGAAAUGUGAGGGGCAGCAGUCUGAGCUGCUACUCCACCUCAUGCUUCUUUCGCCAGGCACAGGGACAUGUGCUGCGGGGAUGAUGGCAUGGAGGUGAUGCACAGUCAGAGCAGUGACAGUGAUGCUCUGCCAUUGCCACCAAAGAGACCCCCACACAGAGCAGAGAAGGAAUACAUGACACAGCUAAGCCAAAGGCAAGCGAGCCUGCAGCCCAUAAAUAACCCCUUUAGAAAUAAAGAGCUGAC
ensembl:lncRNA